UGAGGCGUAUGACCUGACGUCAGUUCCUGCCAUCCUGCUACCAGCUGCAGCCUCGCUCAAUGGAAGAAACCCUUUCUCUACAGAAGGCUACAAGAACAGACCAAGAGUAAAUAACAGAACCUGCAGUCUUUUCACAAUAGGAGCUAAUCAGAAAUGCCUACCUGCUACCUGCAAUGUCCGACUGUCGAUAGCCCACUCAUCUCAAACACACGCAGGUGAUGCUCGUUCAAUGUCCGACUGUCGAUAGCCCAC